rnacentral:lncRNA from 1 species
CUCUGUUUGAUAUGUUAAUAGUGACAGCCAUAUUUCCACAAUUAACAACGAGGUGGGAAGAAAACACUAUAGUCACCAGACUUGGGAGGAGAGGGUUUGUAUUCACAUAAACACAACCUCACGUCACUGCUUGCCACCACAAAGGGCUCUGUUCACUGUUUUGUUCUCAAAGAUCAUCCCUGCGCUCAUCCUCUGAUCUUGAAUUUCUACAUAACUUUCUCAGUUUAUAUGCCCUGUGGCAAGUGCAGCAAGCACUGUUUCCUGUUUCUAAACUUGUAGAAAAUCAUCCAUACAUCUUACAGUUGUCAGUUUUAACCAGAUAACAGUGGCACUUUGUUGCUGCUUUUUUAUCUUUAGCUUAGGUUAACAGGACCCUGGAAGUAAAGUUGUUGAUUUAUUCAAUAGAGUAUUCUCAAUUAAUUUGGCUAGAUUUCUACAUGAUUCAAAAUCUAAAAAAGUAGAAAUGCAUGCUUACAUGUCUAAGGCCUGAAAAAUUUGUGGUGACAUCCCAAAAUAAACGAAGGUUUUAAAACA